UUUAUGAGUAUUGAUUUAACCAUGUAAACUACUCGGUGCAUGCGAUUAAAUUAUAUACAAUAUAACGUUACGUAUUUUCAUCAUUGAUAACGUUACUCUAUAAGACCACGUGCUUAUUUUAGAAUACUUAGUAAUGCCGUUGGCGUAUAAUGUGGUGUAUAAUAGUAUUGAGGUUGAGUUAAUCACAAUAAAUUAUGGUCGAUUGUUACAUAAGCAACUCAUAAUAAUAUUGGUGUAACCUUCCAGCUUUAAAAAGCUGUCUGAAACCGCCCACGUGUUAGGAGCAACCAGUCUUUAGUUUAACGCCAAAACGUUGCAGUGAAGUGCAAACAGCCCGAAAUCUGCAAUUCAAAUAUUAACAGUUUUAACAGAGUUGUCAUGCUUUACUGCUGUGGUUUAUUUUUAUUCUUGGAAACCGCAGAGCCAUAGGCAGUAAAAGAAAGGGUAGAGCUUACUUCGCAUUUGACGCAGUAGCGUGCUCAUGUCAGUAGGGGGCGCAAUAUGUUUGACACUCACUGCUGUCAAUCACAGUGGAAAGAUCUGGAACCACGUUGAACCCACUCCAGUGAGGGCUCUCAUUCACGGGUAAAAAAAGAAGAAAUAAAUAUAUAAUUAUGCUUUAAUUCCGCUACAGAUCCCCAAUGAAGAACCUUUUCUUCCUGUUUGGAACCCACCGUGAUAUUCUACCAUCAGACACAAGAAAUUGAUGAAAUGGAGCUGCACUUCACUUGGGUUGUGUCAAAGAGACUUAAAACAGUACAACUCUGAAAAGAGGUCAAAGGUCGACUCUACAGGAAGCUGGAGUAGAAUGUGACAAACCACCUGGAUUAAGUCCUGCUCCAACAUUUACACCUGCUGUGUGUUACAUGCCUGUGUCUGCAGUUGUCGAUCUCCACCUGCUUUUGGAACAGCUGAAUAAGAUCUGAUCAUCACCCACAUUAGUGCAUUACAUUGUAUUGUUUAAUAUAGAGCAACAAAAUGUACUUUUUUUUUUUUUUUAAUCAAUUUAUCUAUUUCUUUUAAAGGUCAUAUCAACUAUUCAUCAUCACAAAAUAAACCCUCUGGAGUUUUGUUGCCA